UGAGGAAUAUUGGUCAAUGGACGCAAGUCUGAACCAGCCAAGUAGCGUGCAGGAUGACGGCCCUAUGGGUUGUAAACUGCUUUUAUAUGGGGAUAAAGUGGGGAACGUGUUCCCUUUUGCAGGUACCAUAUGAAUAAGGACCGGCUAAUUCCGUGCCAGCAGCCGCGGUAAUACGGAAGGUCCAGGCGUUAUCCGGAUUUAUUGGGUUUAAAGGGAGCGUAGGCUGUUUGUUAAGCGUGUUGUGAAAUGUAAGAGCUCAACUUUUAGAUUGCAGCGCGAACUGGCAGACUUGAGUGCACACAACGUAGGCGGAAUUCAUGGUGUAGCGGUGAAAUGCUUAGAUAUCAUGACGAACUCCGAUUGCGAAGGCAGCUUACGGGAGCGCAACUGACGCUAAAGCUCGAAGGUGCGGGUAUCGAACAGG
rnacentral:rRNA from 1 species